rnacentral:rRNA from 1 species
ACGGUGGAUGCCUUGGCAGCCAGAGGCGAUGAAGGACGUUGUAGCUUGCGAUAAGCUUCGGGGAGGUAGCAAACAACCUUUGAUCCGGAGAUUUCCGAAUGGGGAAACCCACCUGUCAUAAGGCAGGUAUCGCAUACUGAAUACAUAGGUAUGCGAGGCGAACGCGGGGAACUGAAACAUCUAAGUACCCGCAGGAACAGAAAAUAAGAAUGAUUCCCCAAGUAGUGGCGAGCGAACGGGGACGAGCCCAAACCGGGUUGGUUACGGCCAGCGCGGGGUUGUAGGACUGCAACAUCUGAUUGAGUACUCUUAGCUGAAUGACGUGGGAAAGUCAACCAGAGACGGUGAGAGUCCGGUAAGCGAGCAGAGUAGUCACAGUAGCAGACUCCUGAGUAAGGCGGGACCAGCGAAAUCCCGUCUGAAUCCGGCGGUACCAUCCGCCAAGGCUACAUACUCCUGAGAGACCGAUAGUGAACUAGUACCGUGAGGGAAAGGUGAAAAGAA